rnacentral:tRNA from 1 species
AAGGCCUUAGCUUAAUUAAAGUACCUGAUUUGCAUUCAGGUUAUGUUGGAUAGAGUCCUGCAGGUCUUA